AGUCGAGGGGUAACAGAGAAGCUUGCUUUUGCUGACGACCGGCGCACGGGUGCGUAACGCGUAUGCAACCUACCUCAUACUGGAGGAUAGCCCUUGGAAACGAGGAUUAAUACUCCAUGGUAUCAUUUUUUCGCAUGUUAAGAUGAUUAAAGAAUUUCGGUAUGAGAUGGGCAUGCGUCCCAUUAGCUAGUUGGUGAGGUAAUGGCUCACCAAGGCUACGAUGGGUAGGGGGCCUGAGAGGGUGGUCCCCCACACUGGUACUGAGACACGGACCAGACUCCUACGGGAGGCAGCAGUGAGGAAUAUUGGUCAAUGGAGGCAACUCUGAACCAGCCAUGCCGCGUGAAGGAUGACGGCCCUAUGGGUUGUAAACUUCUUUUAUAGAGGAAGAAACUUAUCUACGUGUAGAUAACUGACGGUACUCUACGAAUAAGGAUCGGCUAACUCCGUGCCAGCAGCCGCGGUAAUACGGAGGAUCCAAGCGUUAUCCGGAUUCAUUGGGUUUAAAGGGUCCGUAGGCGGGUCUUUAAGUCAGUGGUGAAAGCCGACAGCUCAACUGUCGAACUGCCAUUGAUACUGGAGGCCUUGAGUGCAAAUGAAGUGGGCGGAAUGAGUCAUGUAGCGGUGAAAUGCUUAGAUAUGACUCAGAACACCGAUUGCGAAGGCAGCUCACUAACAUGCAACUGACGCUGAGGGACGAAAGCGUGGGGAGCGAACAGGAUUAGAUACCCUGGUAGAA
rnacentral:rRNA from 1 species